AGUGAACGCUGGCGGUAGGCCUAACACACGCAAGUCGAACGGCAGCACAGUAAGAGCUUGCUCUUACGGGUGGCGAGUGGCGGACGGGUGAGGAAUACAUCGGAAUCUACUUUUUCGUGGGGGAUAACGUAGGGAAACUUACGCUAAUACCGCAUACGACCUACGGGUGAAAGCAGGGGAUCUUCGGACCUUGCGCGAUUGAAUGAGCCGAUGUCGGAUUAGCUAGUUGGCGGGGUAAAGGCCCACCAAGGCGACGAUCCGUAGCUGGUCUGAGAGGAUGAUCAGCCACACUGGAACUGAGACACGGUCCAGACUCCUACGGGAGGCAGCAGUGGGGGAUAUUGGACAAUGGGCGCAAGCCUGAUCCAGCCAUACCGCGUGGGUGAAGAAGGCCUUCGGGUUGUAAAGCCCUUUUGUUGGGAAAGAAAAGCAGCAGGUUAAUACCCCGCUGUUCUGACGGUACCCAAAGAAUAAGCACCGGCUAACUUCGUG
rnacentral:rRNA from 1 species